UGGUUUUGACCUUUUGCCUGUCCAUGACCAUUCUCUUGCCUACCCCUUUUGGAUUGUUUAAUAGAUAUCAAGACUCAAACCAUCUGCCUCCCGUGUCUGCAUCUGGGUCACGCCUUGUGCCCUCAUAGAGUAAUUGAACAAUUCCCAGUUGUCUUGAAGACACCAUAAAUCCAGAGAAUGACAGACUUUGAUAAAGUCUGAUGACAAAUUUGCCCACGAAAGACCACAGCGCCACCUUCUUGUUCAAGUGAGCACAACAAGGAUAAAGUUUGAAAACCAGCUCCAGCAGCAGAUAGAAGAGAAUAAGCACAUUCAUGAGUGAGUUUGUUUGCUUAUACCUGUUUGAAAUAUAUAAAUCCAAUAGAACUGAAUAGCUGUUAAAGUAAAUGGCAAUGACUCUACCUAGCCUGCCAAUAGACUUAGAGAGCAUCCACCAUAUUGCUUUUAUCUAUCCAGUCUCUCCAGAUCUGUGAAUAUUAAAUGUUGUCUCUUCGCUCCAGAGCCCAAACAGACUGUCUGCUGAAAUAGAGAGGAUAGAAAACACCAAGUCUCAGCUGUUGAAAGCUGGUUUGAACCUCUACACAUGAUGACUGUAGUGUACUGUAGACUUUAACAUGGGGCUAGUGCACCAUCGGGUGUGCAACUAUGAUGUAUCUGUGCUUGAUAUGAGUGUGUGCAUGCGUGUGUUCAUAGAACAACUGAAGUUGUCUCAGCUCUGCUAUCUAGAGGAGGUGCUGGAUGAGGCCAAGAGACAGAGACAACAGACACACACAAAGACUAAACCCUGGAACUACACACUGAUAGUGGCCACAGUGUAAAUCAAAGUUACAGAUGCUCCCAUGCUCAGCAAACUGGUGAACGUUUUGGGAUUGUUCUUAUUUUAAAUGUAUUUAAAUUAAAUUAUUUAACUAGGCAAUUGUUCUUCUGCCCUUGAUAUUGUGUAUUGUAUUCCUCUGUUUGGAAUUGUGGUUCUGGAUGAAUUGUACAUAUUAUUUGAUUUUCUUAUUCAGGCUUUAUUUAAUGGAAGCGGAUAUUCGACUGGCAGAAGACAAAUGCAAGAUUUGGAAUAGGUGUCAAAAUGAAUGAAGGUUAGGUGUAGUUUCAGUGAGGUUAGGUGUAGUUUCAGUGAGGUUAGGUGUAGUUUUAGUGAGGUUAGGGAAAGGCAUAAUAGACAUUAAAAUGGAGUUAGCAUAGGCUUCUGCUGGUCAAAUAUACAGUAUACUGUAUAUACACGGCCAAUGGCUGUGAUGAGAACAACUACGUCCCUUAUAAAGAGCUCAAGGAUCUUUCCUGGUUAAAGGUUAAAUAAAUACCACUGUGUAUGUGUGUCCUCUGGCUUGUGAGCAACCUUUACAUGCAUUACACUGUAACAAUCUGUAAUUAUGUUAAUUAUAGCAUCAGCACCAUUCCACCUGACAAGUUGUAUGUACUAAUGCUGUAGAACCUGUUGACGGGUGGGAGGGAGCUGAGAGACACACACACACAGAGCUGAGGCCAUGGCUGCAUGCUCCUCUCUGAGGUCUGUUGAACCUGAGAACUUGUCAGUCUCCUUCGCAAGGUUCAGUUUUCAUCCCUCUAGUAUUAUGUCACAUAUUGGUGGAGUCAAACCUACAGUAACUGAUUUUUCUGGUUCCUUCAUUCUGGUGUGUGUGUCACAAUAUAUUAUCAUGAAGGUACACACCACAACUCUACAGGGAAGGUAAUCUAAGGCCAACUCAGAGGUACCUAACACAGUGUGUCAUGUGUUAGUUGUUUAACUAACACAUAUGUAAUUUAUGAUUACAG